AAAUCUGUGGAGUGGAAAGCGGCGGACGGGUGAGUAACGCGUAGGCAACCUGCCCUUAGCAGAGGGAUAGCCAUUGGAAACGAUGAUUAAACCUCAUAAUGCUGUAGCAACACAUGUUACAUCAGCCAAAGAUUUAUCGGCUAAGGAUGGGCCUGCGUCUGAUUAACUAAGUUUGGUGAGGUAACGGGCUCACCAAGGUGACGAUCAGUAGCCGACCUGAGAGGGUGAUCGGCCACAUUGGAACUGAGACACGGUCCAAACUUCUACGGAAGGCAGCAGUAAGGAAUCUUGCACAAUGGGGGAAACCCUGAUGCAGCAACGCCGCGUGAACGAUGAAGGCCUUAGGGUUGUAAAGUUCUGAUCUGUGGGAAGAAGAAAGUGACGGUACCACAGGAGAAAGCCCCGGCUAAAUACGUGCCAGCCGCUGC
rnacentral:rRNA from 1 species